GCCGGCCUAGCUCAAUUGGUAGAGCAACUUACUUGUAAUCAGUAGGUUGGGGGUUCAAGUCCUCUGGCCGGCACCA
rnacentral:tRNA from 1 species